rnacentral:tRNA from 1 species
CGGGGGGUGGCCUAGCUUGGUUUAGGGCACUUGCUUGGGGUGCAAGAAGUCAUGGGUUCAAAUCCCAUCUCCCCGA